rnacentral:misc_RNA from 1 species
UUUUUUUUAAUUGUUAAUGCAUUUUCAUCCAAUUUCUUAAAAAUAAUUUUUGUAUUUUUUCAACUAAAACUAAUUUUCCUUGAUCAUUUAAGAAAUUGAUUAAUCUUUUUGCAUAAAUAAUUUACAUUAUUUUUUAUUAAAAGAUGAAAAUAAAGAUAGAAUAAGAGAUAGAAUAAAGGAGAAAAGAGUGUGGAUAUAAAGGAAAAAAAAAAAGAAAAAUAAAAAACAUUACGCAGGAAAGAAGAAAAGUGGAGAGUG